UCCUACGGGAGGCAGCAGUAGGGAAUCUUCCGCAAUGGACGAAAGUCUGACGGAGCAACGCCGCGUGAGUGAUGAAGGCUUUCGGGUCGUAAAACUCUGUUGUUAGGGAAGAACAAGUGCUAGUUGAAUAAGCUGGCACCUUGACGGUACCUAACCAGAAAGCCACGGCUAACUACGUGCCAGCAGCCGCGGUAAUACGUAGGUGGCAAGCGUUAUCCGGAAUUAUUGGGCGUAAAGCGCGCGCAGGUGGUUUCUUAAGUCUGAUGUGAAAGCCCACGGCUCAACCGUGGAGGGUCAUUGGAAACUGGGAGACUUGAGUGCAGAAGAGGAAAGUGGAAUUCCAUGUGUAGCGGUGAAAUGCGUAGAGAUAUGGAGGAACACCAGUGGCGAAGGCGACUUUCUGGUCUGUAACUGACACUGAGGCGCGAAAGCGUGGGGAGCAAACAGGAUUAGAUACCCUGGUAGUCCACGCCGUAAACGAUGAGUGCUAAGUGUUAGAGGGUUUCCGCCCUUUAGUGCUGAAGUUAACGCAUUAAGCACUCCGCCUGGGGAGUACGGCCGCAAGGCUGAAACUCAAAUG
rnacentral:rRNA from 1 species